UACAUGGGGUGCAAACGUUGCUCGGAAUUAUUGGGCGUAAAGCGCGCGUAGGCGGUUACUUAAGUCGGAUGUGAAAGCCCUCGGCUUAACUGAGGAAGUGCACCCGAAACUGAGUAGCUAGAGUACGAAAGAGGGUCGCGGAAUUCCCGGUGUAGAGGUGAAAUUCGUAGAUAUCGGGAGGAACACCGGUGGCGAAGGCGGCCUUCUGGACGGUGACUGACGCUGAGGCGCGAAAGCGUGGGGAGCAAACGGG
rnacentral:rRNA from 1 species